UCCCCCCACCCCGCACUCAUUUUCUUCCCAAAAUUGGUGUCGCUUGCUCGUCUAGACGUCGGACUCCCGCGCGCCAGCCUUGAACUGGCAAACCCACACAGCGUUCCGUCGUCGCCGCUGGGUAAGGCCACGGCGGGUGGGGUGCGAAGCCAGGCGGCCGAGGCCGCCGUUGCUGCUUCGCGUGGCCGCGCGGGGUCGCCGCCGAGCGACGCUAGGCUGUGGCCCUUUCCGCACCCCCAGCGACGCCACCUCCGUCGAGGGGCUCGAGGCCACAACCACACCACGCGACGACCCCAGGGACACGCGGGCCGCCGACAUCGGGCCGGUGCCGGCGACUCGGCUGCCGCUGGCACGGCAGAUCCCGGACGAGGAGGCGACGACCACCAACAUGGCACGUGCAGUUUUUCUCGUUCUUGGCUCGAUUUCUCAAAUCCGAGCAUUUAGGGAGCUUUUGGUUUGUUUGAUUCGUGCAAAGACAUGUGUUGAUGCUACUCCAUGAGUGAAUUUGAUUGAAUCAACACGAGCACGAAGAAACGAACCAAUUUCGUUUUGGUGAGAAAAACUACAUUCUUGCUCGUGAUCUGAAAUUCCUGGAGUUUGAGUUCGAAUUGAGACAUGACUCUUUCGGGAUAGCUUACCAACUCCAUGGAGAUCACCUAUGCAAAGUUUGGGAGCGAUUCCUUUUGAUUUGGUCAAGUUUCGGGCGUUUUCCUCUUUAUUUAUCCCGUCGUCCUUCUCUUCCAAGCUGCGGCAGCGGGUGCUCACCAAGCAGGCUGUGGCGGCUAAGAUGGUGGUUGCUGUGCUCAUAUCUGAAAUCUCAGUUUUGGGUAGCUGACUAUUCUUGCUAUUUCCUGUUUGAGUUGCUACCCUUGUGGUGCAUAGCUAGAACCAAAUUAUGAACUGAACAACUGACACUGCCCCAAAAAUACAUGUAGUCGUGACCACAAUUUACAAUAUCAUAAUAUUGUCCCCUCAUGCUUAACUUGUACAGGUCAAGGAAGUAACUUCACUUGCAUUUUUUUUCUUAUAAUAGAUCUUUCCUUACUAUCUUGUUUGCUGUAUCUUGUUGCAGUUCUUGGAAGCUUUCUUGCAGCAGUUAACAAAUUCAUUGCUGAUCGUUAUUCUUGGAAUUACACAGUAUCCGAAUACCAUGUGUACGAGUUCUUUAGGGUCAGCAUACGCUCCCAUUUGAGUUGUCGGCGAGGAUAUAGGUUGGGGUUGGCGGUAUGGUGUUAAUUUGGGCCCAUUUGAGUUUGGAGAUUCUGCUUGCUUGUGGUCUCCUUGGCAUUAAGUGUAAUCGAUCUUUUAGCUGCCAUGUUUUCAGGUUAUGGUCUUAUGUAUCUCACCCUUUCCUUUUUUUCAGGUUAUGGUAUGGAUGGCAGAUGGCUACAUACGACUGAAGCUUGCGGAGGGUAUGCAGCCACAGCCUAGCUAGGCCGACGGCCUAUUGCCAGUGGCUGGGGACUGAACGGAUCAUUUUUGCCGCCACUUCCCACAAGAAUGGCUCGACAAUCUCUGCAGGGUUGCAUUGGAUUUCAGAGAACAGGACAUGUUAAUUUGUGGAAUGGCUGCAAUGAAUAGUAGCAGUUGAUUUCAGCUCACUCCAUUGUUCAGAGAAUAGUACUGGUUAGCUUUAGCAGCUUGGACUAGGAAUCUGCAGGAACAGCGUGGUGAGUACUUGUUAUUGGACUAGGAAUCUGCAGAAUCAGCGUGGCAAGUCUCGAUAGAGGAAGGGGAAGGCAAGGCGAAGGACCUUGCCGUCAUGUUUAUUGAAACCAGUGCUAAAGCUGGGUUUAACAUUAAGGUAUGCUUCAGAAAUAUAAACCGCUCACAUGUCUCCUGUCGGAGUAGUGUGUUUUUCUUUGGGAAGGCCUUUAUUUUUCUGCCUGUCACUGACCAUCACAAACUUGUGAGCACGCGUUAUUCCGUAAAAUUGCUGCUGCACUUCCUGGCAUGGAGACACUCUCAUCAGCGAAGCAGGAAGACAUGGUUGCUGUGAACUUGAGGUCCGGCAAUGAAAAUUCAUCCCAGUCUCAGGUUCAGGCUGGGGGAUCCAGUUGUUAGUUGUUGUCUGUGACACUUAUUGCUCAUGAUCUUUGAGACCCUGAGCAUCAGAACACGUUAUCACCUGUUGGCUGCUACUUGGCCUUCUACGGCUUUACGCUCGGUGGAGGAGCAAAGAAGAUGGAGGAGCCUGUGAAGGAAGCGAAACGAGCAGGGCGGUGCUUGUGGAGGGCGCGAGGGCUCCACCAUCACGCUGGCAUGUGCGUGACAUCCGCCGCGGCCCCGUCCUCUCUUUCAUGGCUACCAGGCGUGUGAUUCAUUAUGUGAAAAAAAAUUGGUUCUACAAUAUAUAAGAGCAUCAGUAGAUGUUACAUGUUAGACAUGCUUCUAAGCAAGUUUGUCCAUUUGGCACAACAAUCUUAUGUAGAAAUUCAAAGGGAAUGAAGCUAAAGAUAAUAUUCCUCAUUCAAGAAAUUCUCAAUCUUAUGAAGUAUGUUUCUCAGCUUGGACUA